rnacentral:rRNA from 1 species
GGAGCUGAAAUCAGUCGAAGAUACCAGCUGGCUGCAACUGUUUAUUAAAAACACAGCACUGUGCAAACACGAAAGUGGACGUAUACGGUGUGACGCCUGCCCGGUGCCGGAAGGUUAAUUGAUGGGGUUAGCGGCAACGCGAAGCUCUUGAUCGAAGCCCCGGUAAACGGCGGCCGUAACUAUAACGGUCCUAAGGUAGCGAAAUUCCUUGUCGGGUAAGUUCCGACCUGCACGAAUGGCGUAAUGAUGGCCAGGCUGUCUCCACCCGAGACUCAGUGAAAUUGAACUCGCUGUGAAGAUGCAGUGUACCCGCGGCAAGACGGAAAGACCCCGUGAACCUUUACUAUAGCUUGACACUGAACACUGGUCCUUGAUGUGUAGGAUAGGUGGGAGGCUUUGAAGCGUGGACGCCAGUCUGCGUGGAGCCAUCCUUGAAAUACCACCCUUUAAUGGCUGGUGUUCUAACGUAGACCCGUAAUCCGGGUUGCGGACAGUGUCUGGUGGGUAGUUUGACUGGGGCGGUCUCCUCCCAAAGAGUAACGGAGGAGCACGAAGGUUGGCUAAUCCUGGUCGGACAUCAGGAGGUUAGUGCAAUGGCAUAAGCCAGCUUGACUGCGAGCGUGACGGCGCGAGCAGGUGCGAAAGCAGGUCAUAGUGAUCCGGUGGUUCUGAAUGGAAGGGCCAUCGCUCAACGGAUAAAAGGUACUCCGGGGAUAACAGGCUGAUACCGCCCAAGAGUUCAUAUCGACGGCGGUGUUUGGCACCUCGAUGUCGGCUCAUCACAUCCUGGGGCUGAAGUAGGUCCCAAGGGUAUGGCUGUUCGCCAUUUAAAGUGGUACGCGAGCUGGGUUUAGAACGUCGUGAGACAGUUCGGUCCCUAUCUGCCGUGGGCGCUGGAGAAUUGAGGGGGGCUGCUCCUAGUACGAGAGGACCGGAGUGGACGCAUCACUGGUGUUCGGGUUGUCAUGCCAAUGGCACUGCCCGGUAGCUAAAUGCGGAAGAGAUAAGUGCUGAAAGCAUCUAAGCACGAAACUUGCCCCGAGAUGAGUUCUCCCUGAGACUUUAAGUCUCCUGAAGGAACGUUGAAGACGACGACGUUGAUAGGUCGGGUGUGUAAGCGCAGCGAUGCGUUGAGCUAACCGAUACUAAUGAACCGUGAGG